rnacentral:rRNA from 1 species
AACGAACGCUGGCGGCAUGCCUAACACAUGCAAGUCGAACGAAGGCUUCGGCCUUAGUGGCGCACGGGUGCGUAACGCGUGGGAAUCUGCCCUUAGGUACGGAAUAACUCAGGGAAACUUGAGCUAAUACCGUAUAAUGACUCCGGUCCAAAGAUUUAUCGCCUGGGGAUGAGCCCGCGUAGGAUUAGCUAGUUGGUGAGGUAAAGGCUCACCAAGGCGACGAUCCUUAGCUGGUCUGAGAGGAUGAUCAGCCACACUGGGACUGAGACACGGCCCAGACUCCUACGGGAGGCAGCAGUGGGGAAUAUUGGACAAUGGGCGAAAGCCUGAUCCAGCAAUGCCGCGUGAGUGAUGAAGGCCUUAGGGUUGUAAAGCUCUUUUACCCGGGAUGAUAAUGGCAGUACCGGGAGAAUAAGCCCCGGCUAACUACGUGCCAGCCGCCGCGGUAACAC